rnacentral:rRNA from 1 species
AUUGAACGCUGGCGGCAUGCUUUACACAUGCAAGUCGAACGGUAACAGGUUAAGCUGACGAGUGGCGAACGGGUGAGUAAUGCAUCGGAACGUGCCCGAUCGUGGGGGAUAACGCAGCGAAAGCUGCGCUAAUACCGCAUACGAUCUGAGGAUGAAAGCGGGGGACCGUAAGGCCUCGCACGAUCGGAGCGGCCGAUGUCAGAUUAGGUAGUUGGUGGGGUAAAGGCUCACCAAGCCAACGAUCUGUAGCUGGUCUGAGAGGACGACCAGCCACACUGGGACUGAGACACGGCCCAGACUCCUACGGGAGGCAGCAGUGGGGAAUUUUGGACAAUGGGCGAAAGCCUGAUCCAGCAAUGCCGCGUGCAGGAAGAAGGCCUUCGGGUUGUAAACUGCUUUUGUACGGAGCGAAAAGGUCUCCUCUAAUACAGGGGGCUCAUGACGGUACCGUAAGUAUAAGCACCGGCUAACUACGUGCCAGCAGCCGCCGUAACAC